GAAAUACACAUGAUUACAGCAUGCCUAAAAAUACUGGCCAAAUCGAGAAAAUUAAUAUUUAAAUUAAAAUUCAUUCAAUAAAAUUAUACAAAAUUAAAAUCGUGAUUAAUAGUCAGAAUGCAAUUUACUUUACGUCACUGUUGCUAUUAGUGUUGAUCGCUUAGUGUUGAUUCGAAAAUACGAAAUACAAAAUGCAAGAUUGACAAUUUUAAAUGUCAGCGAAAUUAAUUUCGGUGUUUUGAGAAUAAUUGAUGAUUUCUCCGUGCCGGCGAUGGAUUCGCGACGCAUGCGCUAUAUAAAGAUCGAACGGCAAACGAUCCGUAACGCCAAUUUAAUUAAUUGCCCGCAGUAGAACAACAUCUCGACCGGGACGAAGCACAGAAAAAAAUUCUAAUCGCUUCUACAGUUGCGUAAGUGAAAUUAAACAGAGGAGAUCACGAGGCGCGUGUGUUUCGACCUCGUUGAAACGCUCGACGUGACUGCCGCAUUACGUUAAGUCUCCAUAAUGUUUUCUACGCGAGUAGUUUUUAAUAGUUAAUCUACGUACGAGUGACCCCGAGACUGAAUAACACAUUCCGUGGGGUUUUUUUGUUUUUGUUUUGUUACGCACCGCGUAACACGAUCAAGUCUGGAGUAGACUGGCGUGUGAGUAUCCGAUAAGGAUAAUGCGCCAUGCUAUCGCGGGUCAAGCCUGUAAAUGCACACAGUGUAUCGCGCAUUCGAUACGCUCUCAAUGCGGCUUUCAACGUUUUCUGAGGACACCCUUGUCAACUAUCUCCGGUUGUGCAAACGCGGUACGCCAUACAAACACGUACCGCAUAAAAGUGACGUAACUGCUGUCGCGCGCGAGUCCGGAUUAGAUCGGAACUCGCGCGCGAGCGCGGCGCAUCGCUGGAGCGGCAAGCGCGUCCAAACACACGCCGGAGCAGGAAAUCGAUAUCGACGCCGAUUCGUUUCGAUUCAGCGCGACACGACAGGCGGGGAAAGAGGGAAAGAGGGAAAGAGCGACCGGAUGCCCGGCCGCUUCGGCGAACCGUGUCCACUGCGCUCGUACAAUCUCAUUAAAUUCAACAUGACCCGUUCGCUCGCGACAGAUCGGACACGGGAUCACGCGGAGAGACCUCGACAACGCCGGAACGACGUCGCGCCUCCAGCUACACCGCAUAAUGCGCGAGCGCGGGCGCGUUAAUUCCCCGCCGAAAAUGUCGCGCCGCGUGCAUUAUCGGUGAUCCCAGUUCGGUGACACCAAUUUAUCAGGCUGAAUAAAUCGCGAGAUUCAUUUUUCCGAGCGUGUUUGGCACGGAUGAAAAGUUCAGUUUCAGCCUGCGCGAGAAUUAAGAGGAGAGAGUGACAAGAGGAGAUGUAAUAAAUAAAGAUUGAAUACGGCGACGUUUAGCGUCGAGAAGGAUACUGUCUACCUACUGUAACAAAGACGAUAAAAAUAAAAACGAUUAGCCUUCCCCGAGAGUACCGCACAUAUCGCGAGUGUCCAGGCAAGGGUCGUCGACCCCCGGAACUCUCGGGGAAGCAUAUUAAUUACAAAUCGCUCCGAAGCCAUCGAUCGAUCGACGGCCGACCAUUCAUCACGAUCGCCAGCACAGUUCUGAGGCGCACGCGGAGGGAUCGAUCGGUCGGCCGAUCCCCCACUUCAGUGCCCUCCUUUCUUCCACCACUCGCCCGUAUAUCCCUGCCGCCGCCGCCGCGUCAACCGGGGGGUCAACGGCCACCAACGUUAAUGGUCCCUCUUUCUCUCUCUCGUCUCCCAUAAGUCCCUCUCUCUUCCUCGCCACACGCGGUAGAGAGAGUCGCUUCGUGGUGGUUACUCACUACCGCGUCCCACUCGCGCACCCCCUCUUCUUCCCUUCCUCCAUCCUCUCGCCGCUCGCCCCAACGCCCCUACGCCCCCACGCCCCCGAGAGUUCUCUCCUCUUCCCUCCGGGCGAGCUGCAACACGUCCAAUGGCGUGACGAUCGCUGAUGCGGAGCACCGUGUACACGCGCAUCGGCCCGCGAUCUAUGACUGAUUAGCCAGAGAUAGGCCCCGCGCGCGCAUGCAAUUAUCCGCACCUUGAAGAGCGCGAGACGCGGGGCGAACGGCUGAUGGCUCCGGGCAACGACGAGUCGGGUUAUUACGAGCGGCGGACGGCGCGGCGGGAAGAACGGGAAGAAUGGGACUCUCUCUCGUUUUACAUCCGAUCGAUACGCACGUAUUAUAUUCGCCAUCGAUAUUCGCGAUAUCGAAUCGUCGAUUGAGCCUCCGCGGCCGUUACCUACUUUCGUUUAACAGUAAAACUCGAAUCGAACAUUCCUACGUAUCGGUUUUGGUUCUACGUCGUUAAUGGCGCAACGAUAAUUCGCCGUACGCACGCAGCCGUGUCGGACUGCAAUUUCUGGCUGAUUAGAGGCUGCGUUACGAAGGCACGGCGAUUGCGUACGCAAUUGUGCGAACAGAAAACAACGUUUCGCUUAGAGACAAAUACCGAUUGUAUAGUAUCGUCAAGGCCCGUACUAGUCCGACUAGGAUAUCGUGAUCAUUGGCCGCCAACGAGAGACGUCGUCUAUCAGAAAAUAACGUGAUCUCUGUGAUUACGAGAAGAAAUCCGAGAUAAUCAAGAUGCGAUUCAACGGAUGACGACGGACGGCAUCGUGCGGAAGGAAAAUUACGUUCGCUCCGAGUUGCAUACAUCCGAGUCGCGUGUGAUUAUAUAAUUCUAGAAAUUCGCGGUCCCUUCGUGCUGAUGAACGAGCCUUCUCGCAAUGCCCCUGUCGAGAGAUAAAGCCUCGUAACUAAAUUUCAAUUAGACAUUCGCGCUUCGCAAAUCUCCCCUCGUAUGUAGGGUAGAUACACACGAUGACGAGUUCGUAACGACGAGAGAGGCCCCGCUGAGGGAAGGAUCCUUCGCCAUUACUGGGAAAACUGGCACGUACGUGGCACGUACCGCGGUCGGGUAUCGAGCAGAACGCGAACGCUAUCGCCAGGAAACCAGGUUACUAACAUUGUGCUAGGCUGGCAUGGAAGAAAAACGAGUCAAACGCGCCGGACUCGUUAGAGCCGUCGUAAAGCCGUCGGUGCCGAUAAACGGGGGAGGCGGCUUGCCACGCAGGAAGAUAACGAAACCACGUUCGUGGGUAUAUCAAACGGGAUAACGAUUUCGCUCUCUCGCGCAGCUGGUGUCGCUGUUAACGACUUAAUUUACUCUCUGCCCAAUACGUUCGAGCGAGACGGGCAGCACGUAUCUUAAGAGCUCUUCUUCCGAGAACCGCGGGAACCAAGACACGGUAGACACGUCGACGGUCUUCGAGUCGAAAGCCAUCGAGGAUUGAGGGGACAAAGAAAUGUCCCCGCUCUACGCUUUCAUUUAUAAACGGUAUCGGAAUGCUAAGCGUUUCGAAGACUCUCGAGUCUCGAAGCAGGCUCGUUCUCGCGGUGCUCGAAAGUCUUUUUCUUCAUUCGGCGCGAUCGUCGUUCCCUUCGCGGCAUUCGAUUGUCGCUCGAAGUCGACGCAGCCGAGUCACGUAAUAAAAUUAUAAAUCCACGGCGGGAAUGACUCAACGCGCGGGUUAAGGUCGCAACGUGAAGAGGAAAUACGUGACGAAAGGGAGAAACAAAACGAAGAGGAAAAACGAGCACGGGAGAAGAAGUCGAUACACAUCUUACCACAGCAAACCAGACGCAAAUUUGCGAUUAGCGACGCUUAUGCUUACUUAAUGCCUGUCCGAUGGAGAAUUCUAUGCUUUGAAAUUUUUAACGUAACGUGGCCCGAGCACUGCCAGCCACGAUUGACGCAAGUUCGACAAACUCGCAGAUGAGAUGACGGCCGACGAUGUGAAACGCAGAUCUGAAGCUACGCUAUAGUAUUUGCGUGCACGCAUCGCUGUCAUCGACGUGAGAGCGAUGACCGCGUGACACGAGGUGGAGUAUCGUUCGUGUGCGACAAGAGAAAUCACGUAGUUAGUAGUAGAAACUCAAUCAGACCGUAUUAUCAGUAUUGUAAAAACGUCUGUUGGAUCCGCACCCGUUGGGUGCUGCUAAAAGCAUUAUAAAUUUGCAUAAAAAUUCACAAUAUUAUAUUUAAACAUAAAUGAAAACAAAUCGAGAAAAUAAGAGAAUUGGACAAAUUGAGAUCUAUCCGUUGCGUAACACAUUUUAAUAUGGUGUCUUUCCGAUACGGCAAUUGUAAUUUUUUAGAGAGACUGCGCGAUAACGGUAAUUCAGUCCAGGUCAUAGACGCAUACAUACACACACACAUACACGCUCGUUCGCGAUUAUUAUCGAUUCGCGAUAAAGUCCGCGAAGCGCCGGAUGGACGGGCGCGCUCGUUCGGCGUAUCGCGAUCCGAUCGUAUCCGAUCCCUCGAAAUGCGCACCUGAGAAGACACGCAAAGUGGAAAAAAUUCAUUUCCUGCGACGAUGACGAUCUCCGCAUAAAUAAACGGCAGAGAUAAGAGAGCCGCGAUCGGCGUGGACGCCACGUCGUGGGCUAUUAAACGAAAUUACUUAUGCUUAUGGAUCGUUUGAAGGAAUAGCGCGGUUGCGCUAACGUGAGACGGUGACCGGCCGACGUGCGUUCUCUUCCUGUCGUGAACGGUCACACAAUGGUCGCGUACACAUUAUUCCCGAUAGGUCACGCAGCUAUUAAUUCGUUAAUUACAGAGUGCGUCACGAAAAGGAUCACGCACGUAGAAUGUUUCGGGUAUUUCUUACAAACUGUCCUGCAUUUUCCACGUUUCGCAUCGUCUACAGAUUUCUUCGCCGAGAUAGGCAGCUCCACGCCAGAAAUGUUUGCGACGCGGAAUGACGCAACAACGAGAACGCGAGAAUCUCGCAAUCUUUAUUUUUUUUUUGCAAUGAUUACGUUAGUAACAACCAACGCAUUAACAACCAGUGUGUUUUUCUCCGAAGUAACCGAGGCUGUUCUUGCAAAGUUAUUAUCGCGCAGUGAUAAUUCUCUGGGACUUUUGUCGCGAGACACGUGGAGAAAUUGCGCGUGUCCUUAUCUGUUGACAAGACAAGUCGUACGAUCGAUUAUCGUGGGAGAGACUCGAAACGCCCUCCUCGUUUCUUUCAUCGGCAUUUUUGCAUCGCGCGAUGAGCAAUGUAAUUAUUCGCGUGUUUGACGAACGUAAUUCGUUAUAAAGAACAUUUAGCAGUCGCACAGGUAUUAAGCCCGUUAGACGGGCUUCCCGAUAUUUCUUCGACACUACUUACUCACUUGUAAAGCUUCCUAAGAAAAUUAGCCCUCUUAGAAGCGUGUAAAAAUAAAACACCGCGUCGUCAUUAAUACUCUUGUUCGUGCAUCGAAUCGUAAUCUCGAAAAUUCCUAAUUCCCCUUAAAUUCCACCCUUGAAAGACGUCUCUGCGACAAUUGGACGUGCAAAGUGAAAGGUCUCGUUUGAAACGAGACUAAAUCAACGACGACGCCGAAAAGAGAAUCGACUAAUGAAGUCGCGGCAGUAGUUCAAUAAUGGGAUUCCAAGGAGACCGGACACGUCGCGACACGGUGGAAUCCGCGAGAGCAAAGUAGAAAUCCGAGUUUGUCCAGGCUUUGUUUUACUUGUUCGGGGGAAUCGCAGAGAUCUUCAAGGGAAUGAUUCUCAAGGGCUCCUCGACACAAGGUUCGCGAAGCGUAAAAGAGCGGUGAGCGAAUAAAAGAAGGGAAACGCUGAUGUGUUCUUUGAUAUUUCGAGAUCCCGGGUGACGAGACACUAAACACAUUCAUGAAACACUUUCAACCCUCCACUCAUCGACAAGCACACAUUUUCAAAGUCUUUAACAAAAAUUGUACUAAACGAAAUUAAGAAAAAUAACCAUACAAAUAUAAUUUAGAAGGUUGUAAACAAAAAAUCAGAAAAUUUCAGAGUCAACUUUUUUAAGUCACAUCUGCGCAA
rnacentral:lncRNA from 1 species